rnacentral:rRNA from 1 species
CCUACGGGUGGCUGCAGUGAGGAAUAUUGGUCAAUGGACGAGAGUCUGAACCAGCCACGUAGCGUGAAGGAUGACUGCCCUAUGGGUUUUAAACUUCUUUUAUAUGGGAGUACAACGGUCCACGUGUGGGAUUUUGGAUAUACCUUAUGACUAAGGAUCGGCUAACUCCGUGCCAGAAGCCGCGGUAAUACGGAGGAUCCAAGCGUUAUCCGGAUUUAUUGGGUUUAAAGGGAGCGUAGUUGGAUUGGUAAGUCAGUUGUGAAAGUUCGCGGCUCAACCGUAAAAUUGCAGUUGACACUGGCAGUCUUGAGUACAGGAGAGGUGAGCGGAAUUCGUGGUGUAGCGGUGAAAUGCUUAGAUAUCACGAAGAACACCGAUUGCGAAGGCAGCUGACUGGACGGCAACUGACGGUGAGGCGCGAAAGUGUGGGGAUCAAACAGGAUUAGAUACCCGGGUAGUC